rnacentral:rRNA from 1 species
UACGUAGGGUGCAAGCGUUGUCCGGAAUUAUUGGGCGUAAAGAGCUCGUAGGCGGUUUGUCGCGUCUGCUGUGAAAACUCAGGGCUUUAACUCUGAGCUUGCAGUGGGUACGGGCAGACUAGAGUGCGGUAGGGGAGACUGGAAUUCCGUGGUGUAGCGGUGAAAUGCGUAGAUAGUCGGGAGGAACACCUGUCGGCGAAGGCGGCUCACUGGACCGGAACUGACGCUGAGGCACGAAGGCCAGGGGAGCAAACGGG